rnacentral:lncRNA from 1 species
CGAGGUAUGCUGAGAUUGUAAUGAUGAUUCUUGGGGAUACUGUGGUUGAGGCCGAGGAUGAGGUUGCGAUUGAGGUUGAUGCAGAGACUGGGCCUGAGGUUGGGCCUGGGCCUGGAACUGGGCUUGGGUUGGGGUUUGAAAUUGGUGAUGAUAUUGAGGUUGGGACUGAGGUUGGGCUGCGGAUUGAAAUUGAGGACGAAACUGAGGUUGUGACUGAGAUUGAGGUUGGGGUUGGGGCUGAGCCUGAGCCCAAGGAGCUACAUAACUGUUAAAGCUCUGAUCUUGAUAUCCAAGAUAAGCUUGAGAUGCAUAUGGAU